CAGUGGGGAAUUUUCCGCAAUGGGCGAAAGCCUGACGGAGCAAUACCGCGUGAGGGAGGAAGGCUCUUGGGUUGUAAACCUCUUUUCUCAAGGAAGAAGCAAUGACGGUACUUGAGGAAUCAGCAUCGGCUAACUCCGUGCCAGCAGCCGCGGUAAUACGGAGGAUGCAAGCGUUAUCCGGAAUGAUUGGGCGUAAAGCGUCCGCAGGUGGCAAUGCAAGUCUGCUGUCAAAGGCUGGGGCUUAACUCCAGACAGGCAGUGGAAACUGCAUCAGCUAGAGUGCGGUAGGGGCAGAGGGAAUUCCCGGUGUAGCGGUGAAAUGCGUAGAGAUCGGGAAGAACACCAGUGGCGAAAGCGCUCUGCUGGACCUGCACUGACACUCAGGGACGAAAGCUAGGGGAGCGAAUGGGAUUAGAUACCCGAGUAGUC
rnacentral:rRNA from 1 species